rnacentral:ncRNA from 1 species
GCGGUACCGGUUCCCGCCCGCGCCUUCCAGGUGUGCCACGGCGCGCGUGCCAAGCGGCACGGAGGUGUGAACUCGGCGACCCGGCGACC